UACGGAGGGUGCGAGCGUUGUCCGGAAUCACUGGGCGUAAAGGGCGCGUAGGCGGCCUGGCAAGUCGGUGGUGAAAGCUCGGGGCUCAACUCCGAGUCGGCCAUCGAUACUGCGAGGCUUGAGUCGACUAGAGGCAGAUGGAAUUCCGGGUGUAGCGGUGGAAUGCGUAGAGAUCCGGAAGAACACCGGUGGCGAAGGCGGUCUGCUGGGGUCGAACUGGACGCUGAGGCGCGACAGCGUGGGGAGCAAACGAGGAUUAGAGUACCCUGGUGA
rnacentral:rRNA from 1 species